UACGUAGGGGGCAAGCGUUAUCCGGAUUUACUGGGUGUAAAGGGAGCGUAGACGGCAUGGCAAGCCAGAUGUGAAAUACCGGGGCUCAACCCCGGGACUGCAUUUGGAACUGUUAAGCUGGAGUGUCGGAGAGGCAGGCGGAAUUCCUAGUGUAGCGGUGAAAUGCGUAGAUAUUAGGAGGAACACCAGUGGCGAAGGCGGCCUGCUGGACGAUAGCUGACGUUGAGGCUCGAAAGCGUGGGGAGCAAACAGG
rnacentral:rRNA from 1 species